rnacentral:rRNA from 1 species
UUAGAGUUUGAUCCUGGCUCAGGAUGAACGCUAGCGACAGGCUUAACACAUGCAAGUCGAGGGGCAGCGAGGGAGUGGCAACACUUCUGUCGGCGACCGGCGCACGGGUGAGUAACGCGUAUGCAACCUGCCCUUCACAGGGGGAUAACCGGGAGAAAUUCCGACUAAUACCGCAUACGUCCUCCGGGGGCAUCCCCUGGGGAUGAAAGAUUUAUCGGCGAAGGAUGGGCAUGCGUGAUAUUAGGUAGUUGGCGGGGCAACGGCCCACCAAGCCCACGAUAUCUAGGGGUUCUGAGAGGAAGGUCCCCCACAUUGGUACUGAGACACGGACCAAACUCCUACGGGAGGCAGCAGUGAGGAAUAUUGGUCAAUGGACGAGAGUCUGAACCAGCCAAGUCGCGUGAAGGAAGACGGAUCUAUGGUUUGUAAACUUCCUUAGUGCGGGAACAAAGCGGCGUCGUGAUGCCGGAUGAGUGUACCGCAAGAAUAAGCAUCGGCUAACUCCGUGCCAGCAGCCGCGGUAAUACGGAGGAUGCGAGCGUUAUCCGGAUUUAUUGGGUUUAAAGGGAGCGCAGGCUGCGAGGCAAGUCAGCGGUCAAAUGUCGGGGCUCAACCCCGGCCUGCCGUUGAAACUGUCCUGCUAGAGUUCGAGUGAGGUAUGCGGAAUGCGUUGUGUAGCGGUGAAAUGCAUAGAUAUGACGCAGAACUCCGAUUGCGAAGGCAGCAUACCAACUCGCGACUGACGCUGAGGCUCGAAAGCGUGGGUAUCGAACAGGAUUAGAUACCCUGGUAGUCCACGCAGUAAACGAUGAAUACUAACUGUUCGGAGGGCGACCUCUGAGUGGUAAAGCGAAAGUGUUAAGUAUUCCACCUGGGGAGUACGCCGGCAACGGUGAAACUCAAAUGAAUUGACGG